rnacentral:rRNA from 1 species
CCUACGGGGGGCUGCAGUGGGGAAUAUUGCACAAUGGGCGCAAGCCUGAUGCAGCCAUGCCGCGUGUGUGAAGAAGGCCUUCGGGUUGUAAAGCACUUUCAGCGGGGAGGAAGGCGGUGAGGUUAAUAACCUCAUCGAUUGACGUUACCCGCAGAAGAAGCACCGGCUACCUCCGUGCCAGCAGCCGCGGUAAUACGGAGGGUGCAAGCGUUAAUCGGAAUUACUGGGCGUAAAGCGCACGCAGGCGGUCUGUCAAGUCGGAUGUGAAAUCCCCGGGCUCAACCUGGGGACUGCAUUCGAAACUGGCAGGCUAGAGUCUUGUAGAGGGGGGUAGAAUUCCAGGUGUAGCGGUGAAAUGCGUAGAGAUCUGGAGGAAUACCGGUGGCGAAGGCGGCCCCCUGGACAAAGACUGACGCUCAGGUGCGAAAGCGUGGGGAGCAAACAGGAUUAGAUACCCUUGUAGUC